AUUCCAGCUCCAGUAGCGUAUAUUAUUACUGUUGUAGUUAAAAAGCUCGUAGUUGAAUAUCUGGCGUUGGGAAGCCCUGCCCGCCGCGAUUCGCGUGUGGGUUGUGGGGCGUCCCCGCCAUCCUGUGUGGGAGCCCGCCUACCCUUCAUUGGGCCGGGCGGUGCGAGCACACUCAGUUACUUUGAGAAAAUCUGCGCGUUCAAAGCAGGCACACGCUAUGAAAGCUUCAGCAUGGAAUAACAAGAUAGGACCUGGGUCUCUAUUUUGUUGGUUUCUAGGAUCGAGGUGAUGAUUGAUAGGGACAGUUGGGGGUGCUUGUAUUUAACGGCCAGAGGUGAAAUUCUUGGAUUCGUUAAAGACAAACUACUGCGAAAGCAUUCACCAAGGAUGUCUUCAUCG
rnacentral:rRNA from 1 species